rnacentral:rRNA from 1 species
CCUACGGGUGGCUGCAGUGAGGAAUAUUGGUCAAUGGGCGGAAGCCUGAACCAGCCAAGUAGCGUGCGGGAUGAAGGCCCUACGGGUCGUAAACCGCUUUUGCACGGGGAUAACACCCUCCAUUUGCGGAGGUCUGCAGGUACCGUGCGAAUAAGGGCCGGCUAAUUCCGUGCCAGCAGCCGCGGUAAUACGGAAGGCCCGAGCGUUAUCCGGAUUCAUUGGGCUUAAAGGGAGCGUAGGCGGGCGUUCAAGUCAGCUGUAAAAUCGCGCGGCUCAACCGCGCCCCGCAGUUGAAACUGGACGCCUUGAGUUCACGACAGGCAGGCGGAAUUCGUGGUGUAGCGGUGAAAUGCAUAGAUAUCACGAGGAACCCCGAUGGCGAAGGCAGACUGCCGGGGUGCGACUGACGGUGAGGCACGAAGGCCAGGGGAGCGAAAGGGAUUAGAUACCCCAGUAGUC